rnacentral:lncRNA from 1 species
ACCGAAAUCAAACAAAUCAUUCUAAUCACAGCCUAAAAUCACUUCAGAAUAAUCAAGACACAGGACUUGCUCCUCAAAGAAAGAGAGUAAAAUUACCAGUUCCACCAUCGCCAACAAUAACAAGUUUAAAACUGGGAUAAUCCACGGCUUGCUGACCUGGAAGAGCCUACACCCAAAAACGAUACGCAUAAAUCACAGGUCAUUCAGAUACAUCAAAAAUAACCACAAAACCCCCCACAAAGCGACAAAAGAAAAAGCUAAAAGCAUAACACUACAAAAAUAGCCAACAAAACAAAAUUUUUGAGCAUCAAAGAUAGCGUACUAACCAUGUUGUUUUGAGGAGAAUGCUGCGAGGGUUUUGAGAGGAAUGAGGAGGAUUAAGGAGGAGGGAUAUAUAUAGUUGGGAGCAAAAGGGUUUUGUAAUCAGUGUUUCCGUUCACAUCAUAGCUUUGCCCUGACGCGAUUCUCUGGACCGUUGGAUCAGUCUGUUUCUCGAUUCGGCGCUGCCGCACGUGACUCUCAC